CUUUGUAAAGUGUGGAUUCAGCUCACAAUGUUAAACCUUUCUUUUGAUUCAACUGUUUGGAAACACUCUUUUUGUAGUAUCGGUGAAGAAACAUUUCAGAGCACAGUGAGGCAUAUACUGAAAUACAAAAUAUCCCAUGAGAAAAACUAGACAGAAGGUGUCUGAGAAACCCCUUUUUGAUGUGUGCAUUCAGCUCACAGAUUUACACCUUACUUUUGAUUUAGCAGUGUAGAAACACUAUUUUUGUAGUAUCUGUGAAGUUAUAUUUCAAUGGAUAUUGAGGUCUAUAGUGAAAAACUGAAUAUCCUGAGAUAAAAACCCAGAAAGAAGCUAUCUGUGAUGUUGCUUUAUGAUUUGUGGAUUCAGAUCACAGAGUUAAACCUUUGUUUUGAUUCAGCAGUUUGAAAACCCUAUUUUUGUGGAGCCUGCAAAGGGACAUUUCAGAGCACAGUAAGGUCUUCUUUAGUGAAAAACAAAAUAUCCCAUGAUAAAUACUAGAAAGAAGCUAUCUGUGAAAUUGUUCUUUCAGGUGGGGAUUCAGCUCACAGAGUUAAACCUAACUUGGUACGCAGGUUGGAAACACUCUUUUUGUAAAAUCUGUGAAGAAAUAUUUCAGAGUACACUGAGUCUUAUACUGAAAAAUCAAAGAUCCCGUGAUAAAAUAAAAAGAAAGAAGCUAUCUGGAAAACUGCUUUGUGAUGUGUGCAUUCAUCUCACAUAGUUAAUCCAUUCUUUUGAUUCAGCAGGUUGAAAACACUCUUUUUGUAGACUCCGUGAAGGGAUUUUUCAGAGCCCACUGAGGCCUAUAGUGAAAAAGUGAAUAUCACGUGAUAAAAAACUAGAAUGAAGCUAUCUCUGAAACUGUUUUGUGAAGUGUGUAAUCAGCUCAAAGAGUCAAACCAUCCUUUGGAUUCAGCAGCUUUGAAACUCUUUUUUUGUAGACUCUGCUAAAGGAUAUUUUGGAGCACACUGAGGACUCUAGUGAAAAACAAAAUAUCCCACAAAAAAUAAAAUGAAGCUAUCAGUGAAACUGAUUUGUAAUGUUUGUGUUUAGCUUACAGAGUUAAAUCUUUCUGAUUUUUAGGAGGUUAGAAACACCUUUUAUGUAGAAUCUGUGAAGGAACAUUUCUGAGCCCACUGAGGUUUACAGUGAAAACUGAAUAUCUCAUGAUAAAAAAUAGAAGCGACCUGGGAAACUGGUUUGUGAUAUGUGUAUUCAGUUCACAGAGUUAAACCUUUCUUUUGAUUCACCAUGUUGGAAACACUCUUUUUGCAGAAUCUCCAAAGGGAUAUUUUGGAGAUCACCAAGGCCUAUAAUAAAAAACAGAAUAUUCUGCAAUAAAAACUAGAAAGAAUCUAUCUGUAAAACUGCUUUCUGAUGUCUUAAUUCAGCUCACAGAGUUAACCUUCCUGUUGAUUAAUCAGCUUGAAAACGCUUUUUUUUUUUUUUUUGUAGAAUCUGUGCAGGGACAUUUUGGAGUGCACUGAGGCCUACAGUGAAAAACUGAAUACCCCACUAUAAAAACUAGAAAGAAGGUUGGAAACACUGUUAUAGAAGAAUCUGCAAACGGACACUUCAGAGCACACUGAAGCAUAUACUGAGAAACAAAAUAUCCCAUGAUAAAAACUAGAAAGAAGCUAUCUGUGAAACUGAUUUGUGAUGUAUGGAUCCAGCUUACAGACUUAAACCUUCUUUUAUAUUCAUCAGUUUGGAAACACUUUUAUUUUUAGAGACUGUGAUGGUAUAUUUUAGAGCACGGUAAGGUCUAUAGUGAAAAACAGAAUAUCCAUCCAUACAAACUAGAAAAAAAAGCUGUCUGUUAAACGGCUUUGUGAUGGGUGCAUUCAGCUUGCAGAGUUAAACCUUUCUUUUGAUGUUGCAGGACUGAAAUACUUUUUUUGUAAAAUCUGGGAAGUGACAUUUCAAAGCCCACUGAGGCCUAUAGUAACAAACGGAAUAUUACUAGAUAAAAACUAUAAAGAAGCUCUCUGUAAAAUUGCUUUGUGAUGUGAGGAUUUAGCUCACAGAGUUAAAGUUUUCUUUUGAUUCAGUGGUCUGGAAACACUCUUUUUGCAGAAUCUGUGAAGGGUCAUUUUAAAUAGCAUUGAGUUCUAUAGUAAAAAAAAAAUCCCAUGAAAAAAACUAGAAAGAAGCUAUGUGUGAAAUGCUUUGUGCUGUCUCCAUUCAGCUCACAGGAUUAAACCUUUGUUUUGAUUCAGCAGUUUGGAAACAUACUUUAAGGCCUAUUGUGAAAAACCAAAUAUCCCCUAAUAAAAUCUAGAAAGAAACUAUCAGUGAAACUUUGAUGUGGGGAUUCAGCUAACAGAGUUCAGUUUUUCAUUUAAUUCAACUGCUUGGAAACACUCUUUUUGUAGAAUCUGUGAAGGGACACUCUGGACACACUGAAGCCUAUGGUAUAAAACCAAAUGUCCCUAGAUAAAAACUAAAAGAAGCUAUCUGUGAAUCUGUUUUGUGAAGUGUGCAUUCUGCUCAAAUAAUUAAAACUUACUUUUGAAUCAGUAGUUUGGGAAAACUCUUUUUGUGGAAUCUCUGAAAGGACUUUUUGGAGUGCAGUGAGGCUUAUAAUGAAAAACUGAAUAUCAUGUGGUAAAAAAUCUAAAAAACACUCUUACUGAAACUGCCUGUGUUGUGUGUAUUCAGCUCAUAGAAUUAAAUAUUUUUUAUUCAGCAGUUUGGAAACACUCCUUUGGGAGAAUCUGUAAAUGGAAAUUUUGGAACACAGUGAGACUUACAGUGAAAAACUGAAUAUCCUGUGAUAAACACUAGAAAAAGCUAUCUGUGAGGCUGCUGUGUGAUGGGUGCAUUCAGCUCUCAGAGUUGAAACUUUUUUUGAUAUAGAAAGUUGGAAAAACUCUUUUUAUACAAAUUGUGAAGUGACAUUUAUGAGUGCUGUGAGGCAUACAGAGAAAACCCAAAUAUCCCAUGAUAAAAUCUAGAGAGAAGCUACCGUGACACUGCUUUCUGGUGUGUGGAUUCAGCUCACAGAGUUAAACCUUUUUUUGAUUCAAUAGUUUGAUAACACUCUUUUUCUACAAUUUGCUAAAGGAAUUUUGGAGGGCCUUGAGGACAAUAGUGAAAAAUUGCAUAUCACUGAAUAAAAAUUAGAACAAAGCAGUCUCUGAAAUGGCUUUGUGAUGUGUUGAUUCAGCUCAAAGAGUUAAACCUUUCUUUUGAUUCAGCAGGUUGGAAAUGCUCUUUUUGUAGAAUCUGCAAAGAGACAUUUCAGAACCCACUGAGGCCUACAGUGAAAAUUCAAAUAUCCCUAGAUAAAAACUAGAAAGAAGCUAUCUGUGAACCUGCUUUGCAAUGUGUGCUUUCAGAUCUCAGAUGUAAACCUUACUUUUGAUGCAGCUAUUUGCAAACACUCUUUUUGUAGACUCUAAGAAGGGACAUUUCAGACGACAGUGAGUCCUACAGUGAAAAACAAAAUAUCCCAGGAAAAAAUUACAAAGAAUUUAUCCAUGAAACUGCUUUGUCAUCUGUGGAUUCAUCUCACAGAGUUAAACCUUUCUUUUGAUUCAGCAGGUUGGAAACACUCUUUUGUAGAAUCUGCUAUGGGACAUUUGGGAGCCAUUGAGGACUAUGGUAAAAACAUCAAAUAUCCCCAGAUAAGAACUAGAAAGAAUCUAUCUGUGAACUGCUUUGUAAUGUCUGGAUUCAUCUCACAGAAUUAGACGUUUCUUUUGAUUUAGCAGUUUGGAAACACUCUUUUUGUAGAAUCUGCAAAGGGACAUUUCGGAGACCAAUGAAGCCUAUAUUGAAACACUUCAGGUUCUAGAAAGAAGCUAUUUCUGAAACUGCUUUUAAUGUGUGCAUUUAGCUCAGAGAGAUAAAAGUUCAUUUUGAUUCAGCAGUUUGGAAACACUUUUUUUUCAAAAUCUGUGAAGAGACAUUUCAGAGGGCUUUGAGGAAUAUAGUAAAAAACAGAAUAUCCUGCAAUAAAAACUAGCAAGAAGCUAUGUGUUAAAUUUUUUUAUGAUGUGUGGAUUCAGCUCAUUGAGUUGAACCUCUUUUUUUUUUUUAUUCAGCAGGUUGGAAAAACUCUUUUUGUGGAAUCUGUGAAGGGAUAUUUCAGAGUGCAGUAAGGCCCAUAGUGAAAAACAAACUUUUGUGCAAU
rnacentral:lncRNA from 1 species